rnacentral:rRNA from 1 species
UACGGAGGGUGCAAGCGUUGUCCGGAUUUAUUGGGUUUAAAGGGUGCGUAGGCGGCUUUUUAAGUCAGUGGUGAAAGACACAGCUCAACUGUUGCAGUGCCAUUGAUACUGAAGAGCUUGAGUACAGAUGAGGUAGGCGGAAUUUAUGGUGUAGCGGUGAAAUGCAUAGAUACCAUAAAGAACACCUAUGCGAAGGCAGCUUAC